rnacentral:rRNA from 2 species
GACAGAAGGGAGCUUGCUCCCGGAUGUUAGCGGCGGACGGGUGAGUAACACGUGGGUAACCUGCCUGUAAGACUGGGAUAACUCCGGGAAACCGGAGCUAAUACCGGAUAGUUCCUUGAACCGCAUGGUUCAAGGAUGAAAGACGGUUUCGGCUGUCACUUACAGAUGGACCCGCGGCGCAUUAGCUAGUUGGUGAGGUAACGGCUCACCAAGGCGACGAUGCGUAGCCGACCUGAGAGGGUGAUCGGCCACACUGGGACUGAGACACGGCCCAGACUCCUACGGGAGGCAGCAGUAGGGAAUCUUCCGCAAUGGACGAAAGUCUGACGGAGCAACGCCGCGUGAGUGAUGAAGGUUUUCGGAUCGUAAAGCUCUGUUGUUAGGGAAGAACAAGUGCAAGAGUAACUGCUUGCACCUUGACGGUACCUAACCAGAAAGCCACGGCUAACUACGUGCCAGCAGCCGCGGUAAUACGUAGGUGGCAAGCGUUGUCCGGAAUUAUUGGGCGUAAAGGGCUCGCAGGCGGUUUCUUAAGUCUGAUGUGAAAGCCCCCGGCUCAACCGGGGAGGGUCAUUGGAAACUGGGAAACUUGAGUGCAGAAGAGGAGAGUGGAAUUCCACGUGUAGCGGUGAAAUGCGUAGAGAUGUGGA